UGAGGAAUCUUCGGCAAUGGGGGCAACCCUGACCGAGCGACGCCGCGUGCGGGACGAAGGCCCUCGGGUCGUAAACCGCUUUUCCUUGGGACGAGGUAUACGGACGGUACCAGGGGAAGAAGCCUCGGCUAACUACGUGCCAGCAGCCGCGGUAAUACGUAGGAGGCGAGCGUUGUCCGGAGUUACUGGGCGUAAAGGGUGCGCAGGCGGCCGCGCGCGUGGGUGGUGAAAUCCCCCGGCUCAACCGGGGGGGGUCCAUCCAGACGGCGCGGCUUGAGGCCCGCAGGGGGGCGUGGAAUUCCGGGUGGAGCGGUGAAAUGCGUAGAGAUCCGGAGGAACGCCGACGGUGCAGACAGCGCCCUGGACGGGACCUGACGCUCAGGCACGAAAGCUGGGGGAGCGAACAGGAUUAGAUACCCCCGUAGUCC
rnacentral:rRNA from 1 species